ACUCCUACGGGAGGCAGCAGUGGGGAAUAUUGGACAAUGGGGGCAACCCUGAUCCAGCCAUGCCGCGUGAGUGAAGAAGGCCUUAGGGUUGUAAAACUCUUUCAACUGUGAGGAUGAUGACAGUAGCAGUAGAAGAAGCACCGGCUAACUUCGUGCCAGCAGCCGCGGUAAUACGAAGGGGUGCGAGCGUUGUUCGGAAUUACUGGGCGUAAAGGGGCGUGUAGGCGGAUUGGCAAGAUAGAGGUGAAAGGCCUGGGGCUCAACCUGGGGAACUGCCUUUAUAACUUCCAGUCUAGAGAUCGAGAGAGGAUAGCGGAAUUCCUAGUGUAGAGGUGAAAUUCGUAGAUAUUAGGAAGAACACCAGUGGCGAAGGCGGCUAUCUGGCUCGAUACUGACGCUGAGGCGCGAAAGCGUGGGGAGCAAACAGGAUUAGAUACCCUGGUAGGCGUAG
rnacentral:rRNA from 1 species